rnacentral:tRNA from 1 species
GAGGUACUAGUAAAAGUUUACAUAACUUUGUCGAAGUUAAAUUAUAGGUUCAACUCCUUUGUAUCUCC